UACGAAGGGGGCUAGCGGUGUUCGGAAUCACUGGGCGUAAAGCGCACGUAGGCGGACUUUUAAGUCAGGGGUGAAAUCCCAGGGCUCAACCCUGGAACUGCCCUUGAUACUGAAAGUCUCGAGUCCGGGAGAGGUGAGUGGAACUCCGAGUGUAGAGGUGAAAUUCGUAGAUAUUCGGAAGAACACCAGUGGCGAAGGCGGCUCACUGGCCCGGUACUGACGCUGAGGUGCGAAAGCGUGGGGAGCAAACAGG
rnacentral:rRNA from 1 species